UACCAGCACCCCGAGUGGUCGGGACGUUUUAUUGGGCCUAAAGCAUCCGUAGCCGGUUCUACAAGUCUUCCGUUAAAUCCACCUGCUUAACAGAUGGGCUGCGGAAGAUACUAUAGAGCUAGGAGGCGGGAGAGGCAAGCGGUACUCGAUGGGUAGGGGUAAAAUCCGUUGAUCCAUUGAAGACCACCAGUGGCGAAGGCGGCUUGCCAGAACGCGCUCGACGGUGAGGGAUGAAAGCUGGGGGAGCAAACAGGG
rnacentral:rRNA from 1 species